AGUCGAACGGAAAGGCCCUGCUUUUGUGGGGUGCUCGAGUGGCGAACGGGUGAGUAACACGUGAGUAACCUGCCCUUGACUUUGGGAUAACUUCAGGAAACUGGGGCUAAUACCGGAUAGGAGCUCCUGCUGCAUGGUGGGGGUUGGAAAGUUUCGGCGGUUGGGGAUGGACUCGCGGCUUAUCAGCUUGUUGGUGGGGUAGUGGCUUACCAAGGCUUUGACGGGUAGCCGGCCUGAGAGGGUGACCGGCCACAUUGGGACUGAGAUACGGCCCAGACUCCUACGGGAGGCAGCAGUGGGGAAUAUUGCACAAUGGGCGGAAGCCUGAUGCAGCAACGCCGCGUGCGGGAUGACGGCCUUCGGGUUGUAAACCGCUUUCGCCUGUGACGAAGCGUGAGUGACGGUAAUGGGUAAAGAAGCACCGGCUAACUACGUGCCAGCAGCCGCGGUGAUACGUAGGGUGCGAGCGUUGUCCGGAUUUAUUGGGCGUAAAGGGCUCGUAGGUGGUUGAUCGCGUCGGAAGUGUAAUCUUGGGGCUUAACCCUGAGCGUGCUUUCGAUACGGGUUGACUUGAGGAAGGUAGGGGAGAAUGGAAUUCCUGGUGGAGCGGUGGAAUGCGCAGAUAUCAGGAGGAACACC
rnacentral:rRNA from 1 species